ACCAUCCUCAAACUGCUGUUUUUCCAAGUCUCCUGAUCCAACAUGCCUUGGCUAAGUCUAAAUGGGGUUUUUGUGGAUAGAACAAGAUACAGUAGAAGCAGGUCAAGCAUUUCCCUGGGUUAAAACACAACCAUCGAGGAAGCCGAUGGGAGGUGCUGAUUCCAAAAGCCAGGGAAGAAGGACCAUUCACAGAAGCAGCAUCACACAACCAGCAAGGAGAGCUGCUUGUGCACUGUAGUGUCGUAUCUACAAUAAGCCAAAACAGUCAGCCCCUAUUUCAGCUUAAAGUGGCUUUUUAGAUGCCAAGACCUAUCUGUAGACCAGAUGUCCAAAUGAAAACCAACUAACCAAA